CCUACGGGAGGCAGCAGUGAGGAAUAUUGGUCAAUGGACGAGAGUCUGAACCAGCCAAGUCGCGUGAAGGAUGACUGCCCUAUGGGUUGUAAACUUCUUUUAUAUGGGAAUAAAACGUUCCACGUGUGGGAUUUUGUAUGUACCAUAUGAAUAAGGAUCGGCUAACUCCGUGCCAGCAGCCGCGGUAAUACGGAGGAUCCGAGCGUUAUCCGGAUUUAUUGGGUUUAAAGGGAGCGUAGGUGGAUUGUUAAGUCAGGUGUGAAAGUUUGCGGCUCAACCGUAAAAUUGCAGUUGAAACUGGCAGUCUUGAGUACAGUAGAGGUGGGCGGAAUUCGUGGUGUAGCGGUGAAAUGCUUAGAUAUCACGAAGAACUCCGAUUGCGAAGGCAGUUCACUGGACUGCAACUGACACUGAGGCUCGAAAGUGUGGGUAUCAAACAGGAUUAGAUACCCCAGUAGUC
rnacentral:rRNA from 1 species